AAAUUUUCAUUUGGAAUUUGUUGGCAUUUUUAUUUGUUUUAUCGGGAGAAAAAGAAAAAAAUUAAGGAACAUUUUCACAAACAAUAGUUUUAAAAACUAAAUAAUGAUUCAUAGCUUAUUUAUUGUAAAUAAUAGUGGCGAUGUUUUUCUUGAAAAACAUUGGCGCUCUGUGGUCUCCCGUUCCGUAUGUGAUUAUUUCUUAGAUGCCCAAAGAAAUUCACCAUAUGAUGUACCACCCGUUAUUUCUACACCCCACUAUUACUUGAUAACGGUGCAACGUAAAGGCAUUUCUUUGGUGUGUGCCUGCAAACAAGAAGUGCCUCCUUUAUUUGUUAUUGAAUUUUUACAUCGUGUUGUGGACACAUUUGAAGAUUAUUUCGGUGAUUGUUCCGAAUCGAUUAUUAAAGAAAAUUAUGUUUUGGUUUAUGAGCUGUUGGAUGAAAUGCUGGACAAUGGAUUCCCCUUGGCUACAGAGAGUAAUAUACUGAAAGAGUUGAUUAAGCCACCAACGAUUUUAAGGACAAUUGCCAAUACCGUAACCGGUAAAAGCAAUGUCAGCACUACAUUGCCCCAGGGUCAACUGUCAGCCAUACCUUGGCGUCGUAGUGGCGUUCGUUAUACCAACAAUGAAGCCUAUUUCGAUGUUAUUGAAGAAGUAGAUGCCAUAAUAGACAAAUCUGGUUCUACUGUCUUUGCUGAAAUUCAAGGCUACAUUGAUUGCUGUAUUAAAUUAUCUGGCAUGCCAGAUUUAACAUUAUCCUUCAUGAAUCCUCGAAUGUUCGAUGAUGUUUCCUUCCAUCCUUGUGUACGCUUUAAGAGAUGGGAAUCUGAACGUCUGUUGAGUUUUAUACCACCAGAUGGCAAUUUCCGUUUAAUGUCCUAUCAUAUAAGUUCUCAGUCUGUAGUGGCCAUACCCAUUUAUAUAAGACAUAAUUUCUCCAUAAAAACGGGAGAACAAGGACGUUUAGAUUUGACUGUGGGUACACGAACAUUAAUGGGUCGUUCUGUGGAUAAAGUAAAAUUGGACAUAGCUAUGCCGAAGUGUGUACUUAAUUGUAUACUAACACCGAAUCAAGGAAAAUAUACCUUUGAUUCGGUAUCGAAAACAUUAACGUGGGAGGUGGGACGUAUAGAUGUUACUAAUCUUCCCAAUAUAAGAGGAACUGUUUCUAUACCUCCUGGUACCCCUAGUUUGGGUUCCAACCCCACUAUAAAUGUGCAAUUUACUAUUUCUCAAAUGGCUGUCUCUGGCCUUAAAGUUAAUCGUCUCGAUAUGUAUGGUGAAAAGUAUAAACCUUUUAAAGGUGUCAAAUAUCUUACCAAGGCUGGUAAAUUCCAAGUUCGCAUGUGAAUUUAAACUCUCAUUAAAUCAAACUCUAUUCCAUUAAUUUUUAAUUUAUAAAAGAAAACAAGAGACAUUAUUUUUGAAAUUAAGCCAGCUAUUUAAAGUUUUUUUAAGUUAAGUCCAUAAUAUAUUACACACAAAAAGAACUUCAAGAUUAAUUUUUCAAUUCAAGACAAAUUCAUCUAUAUUUCAUUCACAAACAAACACUCAAAUAAUCAAGAAUUUUAACUAUA